UNUCACAAGUGAAGCCAGACAUACAAUCUUCUAACAUCAUACAAGUUAGCUGUGAUGCAACAGAUUUGUUUCAAUUUGUAACAAUCAAUUUCUUCUGAUUGAACAUUCUAUACAGUACCUCCGAUCCUCUCUCAGUGAUUUUCUCACAACCUAAGAUAUCAAAUAACUCCGAGACGGAGAUAAAUAAAUGAGCAUCGUAAACUAUAUAAUAUGCACAUUACGGAAGACUCACAAUUAAAAGAUACAAUAAGAGAUACUUUGGAAGAAUUGUAUCCUGAUAAAGCAAUGUCUGAAACUAGGCACAACUUAUUCAUCAAGAAUUGUUGCGGCUGACUAAGUUGCAUAAGAACAUGCCCCAACUUUAUUCUUAAAUCAUGGAGAAUUGCCAAAACAUGCAGUAGUAGUAAUGUUCCACCACAUAACAGUUCUUCAGAAGGCUGUUGAGCAACACAUGUGUUUUGAAAGGAAAAACGUCAAGAAUAAAUAAGUUGGAAACAUAUUUGGAAGAAAUAUCGUUGUUUGGAACAUAUUCAACUUAUUACUAACAAUGAAAAUAUUAUGAUAUGUAGUAUUACAAAUUGCGCUGAAUUAGAUUUUAUGAAAGAACAUUGAUAAAAAAAUUAAUU